AGUCACCGCUGAAAAGUCGUAGAAAUAGGGCCUAUCCGUACAAAUUGAAUUUCUAGAAAGGGAAAAAAUCACUACAAAUAGAUAAAAAGCCAACUCAAAUUAGUAAAAACGUGGAUUCACCAAAGUGAUCGCUUAAAUUGCAUAAGUUCGGGGUAUUUAAUCACAGAUAAAGCGGCAUGUAAAAGAAAAUUCAUGGAACGGCAUUGCCAGCACUGCGGAAAAUUUCAAAGAACGAGGCGUAGAGAAGCCAUUUAGAAUGCAUACCUAAAAAAGGGGCUGCAGCUGCUGCAUUUCAGAGUUCUGGUUAUAAAGUAGCCUUGAGCCGUGAGCCUUGAGCCACGAACAAAAGAACCCCUGGGAACCCGAACCCAAACGACUUACAGGGGUUGGAGUGGACUGGUCUGGACUGGACUCAGGUAGGCGAACAACGAGGAAAACGAGGAAACCGAGGCUACAUUCUCGUCUCCGCCGCUCAAUCGAACAUCAGUCGUCGGCGGCAUGGCCUAGUGGAAACUUCUCAUCCGCCAUGGAGGAUAUUCUGUUUGUUUUCGUCUGUUCCAGAACCUAACCCCUUCUUUCUUUUCAGUAUCCUUGCUCUGUCCAGACUAAUAACUCGUCAAUUGUGCUCCUCCACCCACUUGAACCCCCGUUUCCCCAUCGUUUCAUUUAUGUGUGUAUAACCCCAGUAUUUUGAGUUGUCAAAAUCCUAAUCCCACCUUGAUACACUUGCUGUGCAUGUGCCGUGCUUUCACACAUCUCCGACCUAACCCACUCAGAUCCCAGAUCACCAGACACAACCCCCAUACGACACACCUUCGUCGACCUAACUCGGUUCGUGUUUCGGUGAAUGCGUCAAAAAGCGCAAAUUUGAAACGUUUUCCGAAACAGGAACCAAAAAAAAAUAUAUAUAUGUGUAUAUAUAUUCUCGAAUUGCGUAGAACGAAUACAAUGAACGGUACUGAAAGCAAACGCUUUGAGCACGGUUCAAAAAAUAAUAUUGAAAAAAAAAAACAAGAAAAAAAAAGAAAAUAACUAAAACACAUUUACUAACAAUAGUAUAAGAAAAACUUGCUGGUCAACGUUCUACGCAAUUCUUGAAAAGAUGUAUGAUAAAUGAAAUAAACACAAAAAAAAAAAUGCAAGUAAAAUGAAAAAUGUGUGGAAACGUUAUACGAAUCUUCACCGAGGGCCCCAAGAAUAAAAUGAAUAUAAUGGAACCGUUAUACGCCUGAGCCGAUUCACAAA